ACCUGGGUCAGGAAGAUCCCCAGGAGGAGGAAAUGGCAACCCAUUCCAGUAUUCUUACCUCAAAAAUUCCAUGGACAGAGGAGCCGUGGGCUAUAGUCCAUGGGGUCGCAAACAACUGAACAGGACUGAGCAACUGAGCAUGUACACACGCAUGCCCAGGAGUGGGAUUGCUGGAUAUGCUCUGUCUCCGAGAUUGGAUUGAGCACUGGUGUCCAGAGAAGCUGAGCUUUCAGCAUCAGGUCUCUGGCAAAAUGUUCCUGGCUCCCCUUCUCUUCCAGCCUUGACCUCCAGGUGUAUUCUUCAGUGGCUCCCUCCUCAGCACCGUCACUGUUCCCGGCCGCGUGCUCAGUUGUGUCUGACUCUUCGCAACCCUAUGGGUUGUAGCCCGCAGGCUCCUCUGUCCAUGGAAUUUUCCCAGCAAAAGAAUACUAGAGUGGGUAGCCGUGCCCUCCUCCAGGGGG
ensembl:lncRNA